rnacentral:lncRNA from 1 species
ACCUGAGCAGAACAUGUCUCCUAUUCAAACCGCUACGGAGUGUUGACAGUGAAAGGUGAAAGUGAAAACCAGAGUUCAAUGGCAACGAUCUCAGCUACUGAUCUGGAGCAGCUGGCUGAAAUAGAGCUGCAGAAGGAGGAAGAUGAGGAACAGGGUCGUCACAGCUACCGUCCGGAUCGCCCUCCACCCCCACGUAGAGUCAGCUUCAGCCAGGACACCUCUCACCCCUACUACGAUGUGGCUCGACACGGGAUCCUCCAGGUAACCAGGACACCUCCUACUACGAUGUGGCUCGACACGGGAUCCUCCAGGUAACCAGGACACCUCCUACUACGAUGUGGCUCGACACGGGAUCCUCCAGGUCACAGGUAAACAGGACACCCCCUACUACGAUGUGGCUCGACACGGGAUCCUCCAGGUCACAGGACACCUCUCACCCCUAC